rnacentral:rRNA from 1 species
AUACGGAGGGAGCUAGCGUUGUUCGGAAUUACUGGGCGUAAAGGGCGCGUUGGCGGCCGAUCCAGUCAGGCGUGAAAGCCCCGGGCUCAACCUGGGAAUUGCGUUUGAUACUGAUUGGCUGGAGUCCGGGAGAGGGUAGUGGAAUUCCCAGUGUAGAGGUGAAAUUCGUAGAUAUUGGGAAGAACACCGGUGGCGAAGGCGGCUACCUGGCCCGGUACUGACGCUGAGGCGCGAAAGCUAGGGGAGCAAACGGGAUUAGAAACCCCGGUAGUCC